UUUCUGAUUUGGUCGGUGAAGGAAGUAUUUUUACAAUUACUUAGAAAUAAGAUCCUAUGAAUGAGCGAGUAUACGUAAUUUUUUUUUUUUUUUGACUAAUGAAAGGUUAUGAAAUAGGUAAGCAACUAGUAGUACUAACUAAUUUAAUACCGAGACUCAGCAGUGAGAGGUCUUCUAGAAUUUCGGAAAGUUUAUUUAAGGGUUACGUAAUAAACACGG
rnacentral:lncRNA from 1 species